AACCCACGCCGUGUCACUUACCCCCCUCCCCCAAACGCCUUCGCGAAUCAAAUGCCCUCAGUCCCUCACCACUCACCAACCCUAGCUUCUUCAAGAAUUCAGAACCCAAACCAAAAACCUAGCCUCUUCAACGGAUUCGACGCCGCCGCUCGUCGUUGUAGGCGCCUCCGCGGCCUCCUCCUCCCCCCUGUUCCAAACCAAAUCCCUAGCUCGGCACGUCGUUGUCGCGUCGUCUUCUAGCUUCGCUGUUCAAGGCUUCGAGUUCGAGAUGCUUGCCGUGGUGUCGCCGUCGUCGUCUUGCUCUCAGUUGAAGUUAUUGAUUUGAAGGUUAGGGUGAUUAUUUGUUCUGGAACUGAGUCUGUUGUUUCACUGCCUGAUGGGAAAGUAAGUUCUCCCCAUCCUCCAUUGGAUUCGUCCUGCUCGUCGCCCUCUUGAUGCCAGGAAAAUCUCUUUAUACUACUGUUAGAGAACUCGUGGAGAAUUCGCUUGACUCAGCGGAAUCGAUAUCGGAGCUUCCGGUAGUUGAGAUAACCAUCUAUUUGUUGCAAAUCAAAAGAAACCAGCUGACAUCGUGGGCAUACUUGUGGGCAUACUUGUUACAAACAGAAGCAAGCUUCUGAGGUUAUUGGGUGACUUAAAACUCGAUAAAGAGGACGAAUAGUUUGAAGCUGACAAAGCAGAAGUUAUGAAGGAAAUUGCCGCUCUGGAACCUAAGGAUCGCCCUUGAGCUUAAGAUAGUGUCAAGUGGCAGAUUGUGUUGUGGCAUUUUGCUUACUGAAAUGUCUCUUGCUAUAGUUUUUUAAGUGUCCAUCGACUUGAGACGAGCUCUUCACUCAAAUUUCAAUGAUUCCAUUCUGUAAUUUAAUUUCCAUUUUGUAAAUUAACUGACAAAUAAGUUGCUAAAAUGAGCCACAACUAGAACUAGGGUAUGGGGCUAUGGGCACUGGUGGUUUUAGAAAGAUGUGGGCAGCAGCCUGCCUUGACUCCUUUACCAUCAAUUUUUGAGUUUAUAAAUUGUUGGAGCUGGAGGUCAUGCAAUCUUUGACCGUCUACAAGUUUGUGACUUGUUGAACCUGAAUGAUGGCUGUUUCUGGUGUCUGCGUACUUCACGGUCAACACUAGCUGAUUUUUAAGGUUUUGAUGAUUGAUAAACCAUGAUGUUGGGAUUUAAUAUUUAGAUAUGCUUUUAUUACUAUUUAACUUU